rnacentral:rRNA from 1 species
CCGCCUACGGGACGCAGCAGUGGGGGAUGUUGCACGAUGGGGGGAACCCUGAUGCAGCGACGCCGCGUGGGUGAAGAAGCGCCUCGGCGCGUAAAGCCCUGUCAGCAGGGAAGAAAAUGACGGUACCUGAAGAAGAAGCCCCGGCUAACUACGUGCCAGCAGCCGCGGUAAUACGUAGGGGGCAAGCGUUAUCCGGAUUUACUGGGUGUAAAGGGGGCGCAGACGGCGAUGCAAGCCAGGGGUGAAAGCCCGGGGCCCAACCCCGGGACUGCCCUUGGAACUGCAUGGCUGGAGUGCGGGAGGGG